UACGUAGGGGGCUAGCGUUGUCCGGAAUCAUUGGGCGUAAAGCGCGCGUAGGCGGCCAGAUAAGUCCGGUGUGAAAGUCACAGGCUCAACCUGUGAAUGCCGCUGGAAACUGUCUGGCUAGAGUCCGGAAGGGGCGAGUGGAAUUCCUGGUGUAGCGGUGAAAUGCGUAGAUAUCUGGAGGAACACCGGUGGCGAAGGCGGCAUCCUGGACCGGUAUUGACGCUGAGGCGCGAAAGCCAGGGGAGCAAACGGG
rnacentral:rRNA from 1 species